UACGUAGGGCGCAAGCGUUAUCCGGAAUUAUUGGGCGUAAAGAGCUCGUAGGCGGUUUGUCGCGUCUGCCGUGAAAGUCCGGGGCUCAACUCCGGAUCUGCGGUGGGUACGGGCAGACUAGAGUGAUGUAGGGGGAGACUGGAAUUCCUGGUGUAGCGGUGAAAUGCGCAGAUAUCGGGAAGAACACCCGUGGCGAAGGCGGUUCUCUGGGACGGUACUGACGCUGAGACGCGAAAGCGUGGGGAGCGAACAGG
rnacentral:rRNA from 1 species